GAUGAACGCUGGCGGCGUGCCUAAUACAUGCAAGUCGAGCGAACAGAUGAGGAGCUUGCUCCUCUGACGUUAGCGGCGGACGGGAGAGUAACACGUGGAUAACCUACCUAUAAGACUGGGAUAACAUUGGGAAACCGGAGCUAAUAACGGAUAAUAUAUUGAACCGCAUGGUUCAAUAGUGAAAGACGGUUUUGCUGUGACUAAUAGAUGGAUACGCGCCGCAUGAGCUAGUGGGUAAGGUAACGGGUUACCAAGGCAACGAUGCGUAGCCGACCUCAGAGGGUGGUUCGCUAGCCGGUCAGUGAGACUCGUCCGCGACUCUUACGGUGGGACGCAGCAGAGAAUCCUACGCAAGGCAGCAGUGCCUGACGUAGCACCGCCGCGGGAGUGCUGAAGGUCUUCGGAUCGGAAAACGCUGUUAGUAGUAAAGAACUAAUGUGUUAUUAACUAGGCUCGUCUUGACGGUACCUGAUCAGAAAGCCACGGCUAACUACGUG
rnacentral:rRNA from 1 species